rnacentral:rRNA from 1 species
AUUGAACGCUGGCGGCAGGCCUAACACAUGCAAGUCGAGCGAGCGUCGGACGGGUGAGUAAUGUAUGGGGACUGCCCGAUAGAGGGGGAUAACUACUGGAAACGGUGGCUAAUACCGCAUACUAUCGGAUAACCCAUAUGGGAUUAGCUAGUAGGUGGGGUAAAGGUUCACCUAGGCGACGAUCUCUAGCUGGUCUGAUAGGAUGAUCAGCAACACUGGAACUGAGACACGGGCCAGACUCCUACGGAGGCAGCAGUGGGGAAUAUUGCACAAUGGGCGCAAGUCUGAUGCAGCCAUGCCGCGUGUAUUAAGAAGGCCUUAGUGAUGUAAAGUACUUUCAGCGGGGAGGCGUUACCCGCAGAAGAAGAACCGGAUAACUCCGUGCCAGCAGCAGCGGUAAUUC